UACGUAGGGUGCGAGCGUUGUCCGGAAUUAUUGGGCGUAAAGGGCUCGUAGGCGGUUUGUCGCGUCGGGAGUGAAAAUCCAGGGCUUAACUCUGGACUGGCUUCCGAUACGGGCAGACUAGAGGUAUGCAGGGGAGAACGGAAUUCCUGGUGUAGCGGUGAAAUGCGCAGAUAUCAGGAGGAACACCGGUGGCGAAGGCGGGUCUCUGGGCCGUAACUGACGCUGAGGAGCGAAAGCAUGGGGAGCGAACAGG
rnacentral:rRNA from 1 species